rnacentral:lncRNA from 1 species
UUGAUACCUGAGACGGGGAAGAAAAAAGUCGCCGAGAUUCAGGGCCACGCGGGAGGACGCCGCUCAGGGCAGAGCCAUGAGCUCCUGCGGGACUUCGAGGCGACACUUCUGCAGAUGUUUGGGCUGCGCCGCCGCCCGCAGCCUAGCAAGAGUGCCGUCAUUCCGGACUACAUGCGGGAUCUUUACCGGCUUCAGUCUGGGGAGGAGGAGGAAGAGCAGAUCCACAGCACUGGUCUUGAGUAUCCUGAGCGCCCGGCCAGCCGGGCCAACACCGUGAGGAGCUUCCACCACGAAGCAUCCCUGAGAACGAGGUGAUCUCCUCUGCAGAGCUUCGGCUCUUCCGGGAGCAGGUGGACCAGGGCCCUGAUUGGGAAAGGGGCUUCCACCGUAUAAACAUUUAUGAGGUUAUGAAGCCCCCAGCAGAAGUGGUGCCUGGGCACCUCAUCACACGACUACUGGACACGAGACUGGUCCACCACAAUGUGACACGGUGGG